rnacentral:rRNA from 1 species
UACGGAGGGGGCUAGCGUUAUUCGGAAUUAUUGGGCGUAAAGGGCGCGUAGGCGGCCGCCUAAGUCAGACGUGAAAUCCCUCGGCUCAACCGGGGAACUGCGUCUGAUACUGGGUGGCUUGAAUCCGGGAGAGGGAUGCGGAAUUCCAGGUGUAGCGGUGAAAUGCGUAGAUAUCUGGAGGAACACCGGUGGCGAAGGCGGCAUCCUGGACCGGCAUUGACGCUGAGGCGCGAAAGCCAGGGGAGCAAACGGG